rnacentral:rRNA from 1 species
ACGCACGCUGGCGGCGUGCCUAAUACAUGCAAGUAGCACGCUGAAGGAGGAGCUUGCUCUUCUGGAUGAGUUGCGAACGGGUGAGUAACGCGUAGGUAACCUGCCUGGUAGCGGGGGAUAACUAUUGGAAACGAUAGCUAAUACCGCAUAACAGUAGAUGUUGCAUGACAUUUACUUAAAAGGUGCAAUUGCAUCACUACCAGAUGGACCUGCGUUGUAUUAGCUAGUUGGUGGGGUAACGGCUCACCAAGGCGACGAUACAUAGCCGACCUGAGAGGGUGAUCGGCCACACUGGGACUGAGACACGGCCCAGACUCCUACGGGAGGCAGCAGUAGGGAAUCUUCGGCAAUGGACGGAAGUCUGACCGAGCAACGCCGCGUGAGUGAAGAAGGUUGUCGGAUCGUAAAGCUCUGUUGUAAGAGAAGAACGAGUGUGAGAGUGGAAAGUUCACACUGUGACGGUAGCUUACCAGAAAGGGACGGCUAACUACGUG